GACAGAGGCCCCAAGCAUUACCCGGAAUCACUGGGCGUAAAGGGUGUGUAGGCGGUCGUAUUAGUCGUUUGUGAAAGGUCUGGGGCCUAACCCCGGAAGCGCGAACGAAACGGUACGACUAAGAGGACGCGAGAGGUGAGUGGAACUCAAGGUGUAGGGGUGAAAUCCGUUGAUAUCUUGGGGAACACCAAAUGCGAAGGCAACUCACUGGCGCGUUCCUGACGCUGAGACACGAAAGCGUGGGUAGCGAAUGGG
rnacentral:rRNA from 1 species